rnacentral:lncRNA from 1 species
AAAAAAAAAAAGAGCUUGAAUAUGAAGAGGAUGAGGGGGAGAAGAUUGCAACUGGGUCUGAUUUUUUCCCCCUUGCGUCUCCCUAAGUCAGCAGCAAAUGCAGAGAAAUCCAUAUAGCUGUGCUAAUACGGGACUGGCAUGAGCAGGAUUGAGACCUCUGUACUGCACAAACUCCUAUUUUGGGUAGCUUUGUUUCUGUGCAUUCUAAAAUGCUGCUCAUAAACUUGUGGCCCAAGUAUAAACUUUAUCAUCUCCCUCAGAGUUUUUGUCUUCUAUUCAAGGGAAAGGAAACAAUUUGGCUGACUUCAAGUCCCCCAGAGCUGGGGACUCAGGAAUCUGGGUUAAUCUGAGUGAGGUUUGUGGAGGUUUGAUCCAGCUUUUCUUUCUGGCUGUUGCUUAAAUCCCUCCUACCUCCCGCAUACAAGUUGUAACCGCAUCAUCUUAGUAACCCUGUGACCAAGAGGCAUGAGAGUCUCCUCUGAGACUGUAAUCUCACUCUAAACAGCUCUCUGGCGGGUGCUCAUGAGUGGUGAUACAUCAUGCAAUUUUCUCCUUUAGAGGUUUGUGGUGUCAUCUCCACCGUGAUCCCUGCCCUGCCUGGCCAGUGCUGGCGAGCCAGAGUGCAGGGCCUGCCUGGGAGAGUGUUCCUGGCACAGCUCCGCGUGCGUGGGGCCAUGAACAGUGAUAGCAACAUCCACCCCUUCCUCUUUGCCUCUCGGCCACGCUCUGGCAGGAAAGAAACCUGUUUAGGAUGGCAGGGGACUUUACUGGUGUAGCAAAGUAAUCCUCAAUAAGCUCGGGACUUUUCCGUAAUGGUAUUUAAUAUGCAGAUAGUCAAACGAAUGCCACUGUGAUAUAUUUUUAUGGACAAAUAUUAUAUAUUAAGCCCUGAUUUAUACGUUUGAGCGUAAUACCUGGGGCUCUGAGGAGAGCCUUUAAUCUCUGUCAGCGAGGCAGCAUGCAUGCUAAAGCGCCGAGUAAAUCUGCACGGGAGUGCUGAACUGAGCACAGCAUAUAUCAGACUUCUUCCGCCUGAUAAAAUUAAAUACACGAGACCACCUUUCUGUGACAUUACUGGGCUGAUACACAGGGGCUGGCAGCAGGAAAUACCCAUCUGUGCUUCCCACUCUGACCCAAACCUGCACCAUUCCUGCUGCAUCCCAAGGGUGCCACCUCAAGGCCCCACAAGCCGUUCCUGGGUGGAGGAAGGUCCCUGUCCGCGACGUUCCCCCUGUCCUUCCAUCACCUCGCUCCCCUGUGACCGCCUGGGCACAGCUGAGGGGCUGCCCGUGCCCUAUUUCCCCUUCAUCAGCGCAGGUAGUAAGGCCCGUUGCAAGGAAAACAUGUUUCCCAGCCUGAUCUGCACACAUGGAUCAUG